rnacentral:rRNA from 1 species
AGUGAACGCUGGCGGUAGGCCUAACACAUGCAAGUCGAACGGCAGCACAGUAAGAGCUUGCUCUUACGGGUGGCGAGUGGCGGACGGGUGAGGAAUACAUCGGAAUCUACUUUUUCGUGGGGGAUAACGUAGGGAAACCUACGCUAAUACCGCAUACGACCUACGGGUGAAAGCAGGGGAUCUUCGGACCUUGCGCGAUUGAAUGAGCCGAUGUCGGAUUAGCUAGUUGGCGGGGUAAAGGCCCACCAAGGCGACGAUCCGUAGCUGGUCUGAGAGGAUGAUCGGCCACACUGGAACUGAGACACGGUCCAGACUCCUGCGGGAGGCAGCAGUGGGGAAUAUUGGACAAUGGGCGCAAACCUGAUCCAGCCAUACCGCGUGGGUGGAGAAGGCCUUCGGGUUGUAAAGCCCUUUUGUUGGGAAAGAAAAGCAGCAGGUUAAUACCCCGCUGUUCUGACGGUACCCAAAGAGUAAGCACCGGCUAACUUCGUG